GACGAACGCUGGCGGCGUGCCUAAUACAUGCAAGUAGAACGCACAGUUUAUACCGUAGCUUGCUACACCAUAGACUGUGAGUUGCGAACGGGUGAGUAACGCGUAGGUAACCUGCCUGGUAGCGGGGGAUAACUAUUGGAAACGAUAGCUAAUACCGCAUAAUAUUGAUUAUUGCAUGAUAAUUAAUUGAAAGGUGCAAUUGCACCACUACCAGAUGGACCUGCGUUGUAUUAGCUAGUAGGUGAGGUAACGGCUCACCUAGGCGACGAUACAUAGCCGACCUGAGAGGGUGAUCGGCCACACUGGGACUGAGACACGGCCCAGACUCCUACGGGAGGCAGCAGUAGGGAAUCUUCGGCAAUGGACGAAAGGCUGACCGAGCAACGCCGCGUGAGUGAAGAAGGUUGUCGGAUCGUAAAGCUCUGUUGUAAGAGAAGAACGGGUGUGAGAGUGGAAAGUUCACACUGUGACGGUAUCUGACCAGAAAGGGACGGCUAACUACGUG
rnacentral:rRNA from 1 species